rnacentral:misc_RNA from 1 species
UCGUGAGGCUGCGGCCUCUUCGAGGGAGAAUCCUUGCCUUUUCGAGCACCUGUUUGUUUCCUCGGCAGGCCCGCCUGCCAAUGGGGACCAUUUAAACUCUUGUAACAACCUGAAUGAAAAUCGUCUGAAUAAAAACAAAAAUCA